UACGAAGGGGGCUAGCGUUGCUCGGAAUCACUGGGCGUAAAGGGUGCGUAGGCGGGUCUUUAAGUCAGGGGUGAAAUCCUGGAGCUCAACUCCAGAACUGCCUUUGAUACUGAGGAUCUUGAGUUCGGGAGAGGUGAGUGGAACUGCGAGUGUAGAGGUGAAAUUCGUAGAUAUUCGCAAGAACACCAGCGGCGAAGGCGGCUCACUGGCCCGAUACUGACGCUGAGGCGCGAAAGCUAGGGGAGCAAACAGG
rnacentral:rRNA from 1 species